GAAGUAGUCGACGCUCUCUCUCUUCCAGCUGAAGCCGUAGUGCCGGAACAUAUGAAAGACGUAGGUCUCCACUUUGUGGGUCGUAGCCUGACACAGCAGAACAGACGCAGGAAUUAAAAUCAGUUGUAUUUGAUGGGUGUAUCCAACAGCAGGUGUGAGAACCUUUGCAAAUGCAGACGUUUUUGCAGUUUGCUGGUCUGCAGCAUUCAGUUGUGUGUUAACACAAUGCUACAAUCAUCUCAGGAGUGGAUGUUCCAGCAAAUUCAACCUAAGACCAUCCAAACGCUCAGAAAAGCUGCAAAAACCCAAGAAUUCUCAUUCUCAGACUCUACAGGCCUCAUGUUAAAUGUUAAAGUUCAUGAGAGUACAAAUAGAAAGAGACUGAGAAGUGUGACUUGUUUGGAAGGGUUACCAGGAGGAAGCCUCUUCUCUUUAAAUGAACAUUGCAGCAGGGCUCAGGUUCCUUUGGACAGAAAAAACCAAAGUGGGCAUGUUUGUCCAUAAAGGAGAAAACGAAACACAUCACACCAGCUGUCAGCACGGUGGUGGAGGGAUGAUGAUCUGGGCUCCGUGCAGUGACUCAGUAAACCAUGAAUUCCUCUGUAUACAAAUGUAUUCUAGAGUCAGAUGUGAGGCCAUCAGCCCCACAGCUAAAGCUCAGGCCAAACUCAGUCAUACACAUGACAAUGAUACCAAGAACAGUGCCAAAUCUCUAAAAGAAUGGCUGAAAAAGAAAAGAAUCAAAGUGGUGCAAUGCUCCAGUCAGUCCAGACCUCAGCCUGACUGAGAAGCUGUGGUGGGACCUUCAGAGAACAGUGCUGAAACUGAAGAGUUGAGACUGAGGAAAUUCCUUCAUAAUGAUGAAACUAAUAACAUCUACAGGGUGCAUGCACGAGGCAUUGACGAUGACAUGACCAUCAGCAGAGACAAACAAAUAAUGAGA